AGCAGCCGCGGUAAUUCCAGCUCCAAUAGCGUAUAUUAAAGUUGUUGCAGUUAAAAAGCUCGUAGUUGAAUUUUGGAUUCUACCAAUUGGUCCAUCUUUUAGAUGAGUACUGGUUGUGUGGGGUCUAUCCGCCUGGUGAUACGUAAUGUCCUUUAUUGGAUGUUGCGGGUAGUCAGGACCUUUACCUUGAAAAAUUAGAGUGUUUAAAGCAGGCUUAUGCCGGAAUACAUUAGCAUGGAAUAAUAGAAUAGGACGAAGUUGUUUUAUUUUGUUGGUUUCUAGGACAACCGUAAUGAUUAAUAGGGAUAGUUGGGGGCAUUAGUAUUCAAUUGUCAGAGGUGAAAUUCUUGGAUUUAUUGAAGACUAACUACUGCGAAAGCAUUUGCCAAGGAUGUUUUCAUUAAUCAAGAACGAAAGUUAGGGGAUCGAAGACGAUCAGAUACCGUCGUAGUCUUAACCAUAAACUAUGCCGACUAGGG
rnacentral:rRNA from 1 species